UGGCCACUUGGAACUACUGUCGAGUUUAA
rnacentral:piRNA from 1 species